UCUCAUCGACAAUAGGGUGAUCGUGCCUCCGGANAAACCAAAUGUCACAACCAACCCUCUUCCACCACAUAACCAAGCUCCACCUCCCAAACGUAUCAACAUGAUCCAAACUGGGGUUGUGUCAUACGACCCUAGUAUAUAUAUCACCCCUUCUCACUUACCCAAGCCGGAGGUGUUCAUUCCUGACAACACUGACUUGUGCGUGUUGGA
rnacentral:sRNA from 1 species